ensembl:lncRNA
GUUACCAACUGGUAGUGGGUGGAAGACCUGGGAUCUGACCCAGGUCUGUCUGUCCCCAAAGCCUGUGGAUUUCCCUUGAGAACCCGGAGUCUCUUGGGGUCACCCACAAGGAUUUGCUGAGCAGUUCUGAGGUAAAGCUCAUGCAGCUCUUCCUUGGGUCUACAGUGCAUCAGUUUUCAGGGAUAGAGGGUUGGCGUCCCAGCACUAAGGAGGGGCUGCAUAUCAGGCCUCAUGAACUGCAAGGGGGCCCCAGACAGGAGCCCUGCCAUACCAUGACCCCUGCCUGUGCCAGCCCUUUCACCAGGGCCUCAGGGUGACUCUGGCCAGUCCUGUGAUCUCUCUGAAUCCCCACUUCCCCACAUGUAAAUUGAGAGGGUUGACCAGAUGAAAUGUCAGCUCUAUUAUCUUAUAAUAAUAGAACCUCAGGGCACUUCAAGUGCCUGAAAUUCUAGAAGGUAAGGGUGACAAAAAAGUCACUAGGCUUCAUCAAAGCAUCAGAUUUCUGAGGCCUUGGGUGGGGGGCUCUCAGCCAACCUGGUGUCCCUGUUACAUCUGUGCUUUUCUCUUCCUAUGUCCCAGGUUGGCCAUGUGUCCAAAAGAACUAUCAUCCUCAGCACCAGCCAUGACACCCCAUGUCCUCAGGGAAGACCCAUCUGUUAUGACAGUUUCUCAGUAAUUGCAGACUUUUGUUCAAGUAACAUCAUCACAGGAGAAAGUCCAGAGCAGAAGGACUCUCUAGAGGCAAAAGGGGAGCAAUGCCCUCACACCAAGCCUGUCGCUCCUCUCUUUUGCUUUUCACAGGGACAGCUGCCCUCUGUCACCGCAGUGGGGCCCUCUGCUACCUCCUGUGCCUCAUUGCCUGCCUGCCAGGCCAGGACUCCAUGGCUGGGAGCUGCCUGCAGUGCUCCAAGGACUUUCACUACCAUGGUGGCAGGACAGCUCAGCAGCCGUGCCUCACCAGAAUCUGCAGCCGGCUCCCAAGACUCAGAGAAAGCAAAGACUACCAGUGUUACCUGCCCAGGCAAGAGCCAAAAGCAAAGCACACUGCCCAUGUCUUCUGCCCUCUGGGCUACUUCUUCAUAGACAGAGUCCUUAGCUGCCAGCCUCGCCCCACAGGGCACUGGCCAAAGGACAGCAGUGGAAGAGGAAUGGAGGGAGAGCCCCUGCACCUGCGGGCAGAAGGCCACUUCUGCCCAGAUGGUGCCAUCACCAUGCCAUGCCUGGCCAGGACCUUUGAAAGCAGGAGGGAGACACCCCACCCCAACACCAGCUUCUGCUUAGCAGUUCUCAGCCAGUGUCUGCAGUGCCCAGCGGGAUACUUCUGCCCCAACCAAGCCACCCAACCCAUCCCAUGCCAGCCAGGCACAUUUAGCCCGAAUCCAGGCCAGGAUGAAACCACAGACUGUGUUCCAUGCCCAGCAGGCAAGGCCUGUACCCAGGCUGGGCUGACUCAGCCAGAUGCAGAGUGCACACCGGGGUAUGUGUGCCCUGUGGGCUCUUCCAGCCCCAAUGCUCCCACCCAUGCCUGCCCACCCGGGACAUUUAGCAGCCGCAACAACCUCUCCGACCUGUCACAGUGUGAGGUCUGCCCCUCGGGAGUAGCCUGUCCUAGGGGUGAGUGA